rnacentral:rRNA from 1 species
GUGCCAGCAGCCGCGGUAAUACGUAGGGUGCGAGCGUUAAUCGGAAUUACUGGGCGUAAAGCGUGCGCAGGCGGUUCGUGAUGUCUGAUGUGAAAGCCCCGGGCUCAACCUGGGAACUGCAUUGGAAACUAGCGGGCUGGAGUGUGGCAGAGGGGGGUGGAAUUCCACGUGUAGCAGUGAAAUGCGUAGAGAUGUGGAGGAACACCGAUGGCGAAGGCAGCCCCCUGGGCUAACACUGACGCUCAUGCACGAAAGCGUGGGGAGCAAACAGGAUUAGAUACCCUGGUAGUCC